rnacentral:tRNA from 1 species
UGCAUCGGCCGGGAAUCGAACCCGGGCCGCCCGCGUUGUAGGUGAGCAUUCUACCACUGAACCACCGAUGG